rnacentral:rRNA from 1 species
GAGACAGCAGUCGCCGCGGUAACACAGAGGGUGCGAGCGUUAAUCGGAUUUACUGGGCGUAAAGCGUGCGUAGGCGGCUUCUUAAGUCGGAUGUGAAAUCCCUGAGCUUAACUUAGGAAUUGCAUUCGAUACUGGGAAGCUAGAGUAUGGGAGAGGAUGGUAGAAUUCCAGGUGUAGCGGUGAAAUGCGUAGAGAUCUGGAGGAAUACCGAUGGCGAAGGCAGCCAUCUGGCCUAAUACUGACGCUGAGGUACGAAAGCAUGGGGAGCAAACAGGAUUAGAUACCCGGGUAGUCCCUGUCUCUUAUAC